rnacentral:lncRNA from 1 species
GUAAGAUCAUACAGAAAAACCUUUUUUUUUUCCUUUUUAGAGGCACAAUUCAGUUUACAUAUUAAACUUAAUUUCCUGGCCUGCACUAUUUUCCAAAUUUUCAUUCCCUGGUAUGAACUUAGGAACUGGGAGCUUCUUGGACCAUGGCAAGGAUCAAAAAUUACUGUGCCUACAAAAUUCAUAGUUGGUAACAAGGAUACAGGGUUUGAAUCAUUUGGAACAAAACACUAUAUUCAAGGAGAAGAAUUUAGGAGCCUUGUCACUGACCUUGAAGUUGUUGUCAUCGAUGGACACCAUUUUAUCCAGCAAGAGAAAGCUGAACAAGUUACCGCUGAAAUUCUAUCCUUUUUUCAGCGAGAAAAUCUCUUGUGACCAAGAAUAAUUCAUAGUUU